rnacentral:rRNA from 1 species
UGGGGAAUAUUGCACAAUGGGCGCAAGCCUGAUGCAGCCAUGCCGCGUGUAUGAAGAAGGCCUUCGGGUUGUAAAGUACUUUCAGUCGGGAGGAAGGUGUCAAGGUUAAUAACCUUAUCAAUUGACGUUACCGACAGAAGAAGCACCGGCUAACUCCGUGCCAGCAGCCGCGGUAAUACGGAGGGUGCAAGCGUUAAUCGGAAUUACUGGGCGUAAAGCGCACGCAGGCGGUUGAUUGAGUCAGAUGUGAAAUCCCCGGGCUUAACCCGGGAAUUGCAUCUGAUACUGGUCAGCUAGAGUCUUGUAGAGGGGGGUAGAAUUCCAUGUGUAGCGGUGAAAUGCGUAGAGAUGUGGAGGAAUACCGGUGGCGAAGGCGGCCCCCUGGACGAAGACUGACGCUCAGGUGCGAAAGCGUGGGGAGCAAACAGG